GGCGUAAAAUUUUGACCUUAAGAUGUUUUGGGGCCUUAAAAUGAGUUACUCUGACCUCCUGAAGCCAUCCCAGUGGUUUGCAAUGUGUUACUGUGUACACCGAGCUGUGCUGGAGGUUCCUCCCAGUUUGUAAACAAACUCUGACACAGCAUCCAAUUGACGCAAAGCUCGUGUGUGCCCGAGAUGACGUCCUGCCCUCGUUCGCUCUCAACUCGUCCACGCCCUCUCUCCGCCCACUAGCACGCCCAUUCAUUUGAAAACUCUAUAAAUACCAGCAGAACACCACAUACGUGCCUGUUCAAUGUCUGAGGGAACAUUUUCCGGAUUAAUGCUUUCACAAUCUGGGACAAUACAGAGCAAGUUAUGGCCAACACCUGACGCUGAAGUCUGGAUCAAUACCACCAAGCCUCCUGAACAAAAGUUCCCGAAGAAAGCAACAUGAUGAAGCAAAACUGCUCCCUCACCACUACGUUGGAGUCUUCCCAUUCAGUCAUCACCCAAUUUGCUCCAAAGAAUCAAACACAAGCAGACACUUCUUACAGAUGGCUGUCCCCUAGAAUGAAAAUGCACACCAACCACCGGCAAACAUCAAAAGCUAAUCCAACCUUUGGUCUUCGGAAACCCUGUGACUAAUGCAAUGUUGGUGCCCUAGAAGACAAGUCAGCGCAGUUCAGACGAGCCAGCCAGAGGAGGUCACCGCCAG